GCCAGGCAUGGUGGCUCAUGCCUGUAGUCCCAGCUACUUGGGAGGCUGAGGUGGGAGGAUUGCUUGUGCCCAGGAGUCGGAGGCUGCAGUGAGUCGUGAUCAUGCCACUGCACUCCAGCCUGGGCAACAGAGCGAGACCCUGACCCUA
rfam:Homo sapiens chromosome 11, GRCh38 reference primary assembly.